rnacentral:lncRNA from 1 species
UGUGUGUGUGUUUUAUUUUGGGGAGAGGCUGCAAAGGCAAAGGGCAGAUAUAAGGGCAUGAGGAGAUGAGCAGGACUUGGAUACAUGAUGUGAAACAAUGAAUCAAUAAAAAGUUUUUUAAAAUGAAAUAUAUAUAUGUCCAAUACACAGAAAUUUUCAUAAAACAAACCCUUGUUCACAUUGUGAAAGAUUUUCCAAAUCAGUACAUGAACAGAACUAUUUCUGUAAAUCUUCAUAUGCACAAGGAAUUAAAGAAGAAAUUCCAUUCUCAUUCCUAAUAAACACCUUACUUUCCCAAAUCAUUAGCCACCUGUGUUCCUGGAGGACCACGGCACUCAUCUUCGUGAACAUUGCCAUGACCUGCAGGGAUAAUCACAGGGACCUAGGGCAGGGGAGAGAAAGUGGGAGGGACAAGAAACAUGAAGAAUGAGAGCAAGUCAAUUAGACUGAUCAAGCUCUGAAAAACUUUUCAUGAGUGGCAAUAUAAACAUAAGUAAGAGGAGACUUCAAGGGAGGGGGAAGAGCCCGAGGGUGCUCCGAAGGUCAGGUGGCAAUCUUCAGCUCCUGGAACUAAGGGUCACAGUAUCCUCUCUACCCACAAAUAUUCUUACUGUUAUGACCACGAAUGUUUUCUCAGGAUUGUUUAUGUAAGCUAGAAAUUUUCCACAAGGCCAUGGCCUCCUGGCAGAUCAUUUCUUUCAGAAGGCCAGUUGUCAGUACCUAUACACAAUGUGUGAAAAAUACACACACUCUUUAACCCUGGCUGUUCUACUUUCCAAAAUACCUGUUAUAGAAACACAAGUGUUCUAUAGGGCAUACCAUGCAAUGCGUUACAGUAGUGUCUUUAACAGCCAAUAAUUCAAAUGCCCAUCAACAGGAACACUUAGACUCAAAACUAACAAGCUGCAAGUUCAGGCAAUAUAGGUGGAUGCUGACCUCUGACCUAAUUCAAGACAACAAAAAUGUGUUAUGUUCCUUCCCUACAGUAAACUCUCAGUGACAUCAGUGCUUAGGACAGGCUCAAAGAAAAACCAAAACCAAAACCCAAUCCAGGUAGCUUCUUGCAAGAUUUCCUUUAAUAACCCCCAUAAUUUAUAGCUCGUGACUUCUACUAAGACUCUUAAAGAAACCAUGCCAGUCACAAGCACUGGACAUGUGCAAAGGAAAUAAGGCUUUAUUAAAUCUUUCUGACACCAUAUAGUCACAGUUUUGAUAAUUCUCUAUGUUAUCUUAUUGCUUAUUUCUCCUUAAUUUUCUGUUAGAUACCUAUAAUUUCUUUUUGGUGGUGUGCCAAAACCAAAAAUAAAUGAAUUAUUUUACCCUUUAUAAUUUUUACAAUAAACCAUGUUGAAAUUAACCAAUUUUCUAAAAAUCAAACAAACAAACACAC